rnacentral:lncRNA from 1 species
UUCUUUCAACAACAACCGUGUAGGGGCUUAGUGACGGAGCCAAAAUUUUUAUUAAGAGGUGUUAAAAUACAAAUAAUUAGAUAUAUCAAAUAAUCAAGAAGAGUCAACGUAUAAUAAAUAUACAUAAAAUAAAAAAAAAUUAUCCCUUUAUUAUUGUUUGUAAAUACAUGUUUUUAUCAAGCCACCGUACACUUUUUUUGUUGGUUAGUAAAUAGUACUACAUGUUUUUAUCACUAUUUAAA